ensembl:lncRNA
UACAUCCAGAUAGUGGGAAAAAAGUGAUAUGUGGACACAAAUGCUUAAAGCCACAUAAAGGGUUAUGAAACUACCCUGUGAUUAAUACUAAUUAUUAAUAUUUUAACAGCAGUUUCUACAAAUUCAGAAUUUUAACCAGAUUGUUCUAUCGGCCAGUUUUCUUUGGAUCAUCUUUUUCAGUUCCUAGUUGCUUGUGGCCAGAUCAGUUUUGAGCAAGUUAUUAGGAGGUGCAGUUCAUUUUUAAGCUCGGCAUCCUUCCAUGUCAAAGCUGCCAGAGAUGUCUGCAUCAGUCAUUUCCAACCCAUCUGCUCUGCGGCACACAACCUCUGGGUGGCCAAAUUAGUGACACACCUGUGGGCCUUGUGCCAACAAGAAUUUCGGGUGACCUUCACAAAUAUAUUCAAGAGAAUAGAAGUAAAAGUAAAGGGAGAUUGGAUGAAGGGUGCACAGAAACUCUCUGUUCUAUGUUGGCAACUUUUCUGCAAACCUAAAAUUCAUUCAAAAUAAAGAGUUAAAAAAAUAGCCUGAAAUAUAAACAAAUUGGAGAAAAAUCUUUCCUGAAAAUUAGGAGAAAUCAACCUCCCACCCCCGUACACACGCACACACACACAGAGUGAUCAGAUGAGACCAGUAUGAAAAUUGGUACCCAGGAGGCAUGCUGUGGGGGGUUUACACAAUAUCUGUAGUUGAGCUGGGCCAAACAUUGUCAUUACAAGAAUAACAUUCUCAUCUGUGAAAACGCACUGCUUAAAGAGGAGAAGCAAAAGAUUUCCUGCACUUAGGUCUGAGACAUUUUUCUGCAGGUUUUUGCAAAGUGAGGAUAAAGUGAUAUAGGGGUUAACAUCCUCAACAACACCCCAGCUCUAAAUAAAAUAAUGUCCUGUAGAAGCAGGAGUAGGAUCUGCAUUGAUAGGCAGAGAGGGCAAAGAAGUUAGAUUUCUUUAAUAGUCAUUUGAGAUACUAGAAAUAUACUUUAAACAAUUUUCUCUUUAAAAGAAAAAAAAGCCUAAUUAUGGGCAGCAGUGGGGUAAGAAUAUUUCAGGAAAUAUUAGCAUACCUGCCUUGUCAGGAAGGUUUAAAAAUAAAUACUAGACAAGACAAGCAGACGUGAUAUACAGGUCCAGAUCACAUAGCUAUUGGCCAAAGCUGAAAAGCAAGACUUGAGGCAGCUGAGUUUUAAGAAGAAAUGGAGCAGCACAGUGUUCCCUUAAAAUACGUGACAAAUUCCAUGCCGCCAAGUGCCACCUGCACUGUUUAUUUGUUGGCUUCUUUAUUUCAGUCUGUUAAAAAAAGUCUGUCUGUUGGGAGGCACAGCCUGUCCCAAGCAAAAUCAGAAAGAAGCAUAAGCUGUAUCUACUAUUGGCUUCCUCCCUAUAACUCUGUCCUCCUUCAACUUAAAAGAAUGUUGCAACAAGGCUGAAAGAAAGGAGUGGAAGCAUUUAGCUCUGCAUUCCUGAGGUCCAGUCUUGAUUAGAGGAAGGAUUCUUAGGAUGCAAUCUUGAAGAAGAGAGAGGGUACUGGGAAGCGUGGAGCCCAGAAGCAGAGUAAAUAUUGCUCUAAGGAUACAGGAAAUCCAUUAGCCCUUAUUAUCCAUUGAGCCAGCAGGAUACUUACUAAGCUUGUGGAGAAGCCAGUGAACGCUACAGGCUUGGCCUGCCCCAGAGAGCUGACCUUCUGGGGACCUGAGCAUCUGAGGAACAAAGCCUUUAUAACCCAGGAACUGUGUGGUGCUGCUUCGAAGGUUUAGCAUUUGCUGGAAAAGAAUAAGGAUAUGUUGGUCUACAUUCGUUAUUCAGGGUCAAGUAUCAAAACAAAAUCCCAUAUUAGGCUUUGGCAUAACCCGAAUUUGAAUUAUGGGAGAUAAAUGAUCUUGGCAUUAUACUGGAGUUUUUGGGCGGAAAAAGUACUAUAAAAGGAGACUCUAAGGCAUUGUGUAAUACUAAAAACCACUAGUUGAAAAUUAAAACAUUUUAAAGUUCAUAAUAAAAGAUAGUUGCUAUUUCUCUGUAUUCUUUGAAUGGAGUUUAGCCAAAGAUAUAUGUUAUUAGUCAUUUCAGUCAAAGAAACUGCACCAGUUGCUCAUUUGUGCAGUGAUUAUGUACAGGUUGCAAGUAGGGAUGGCAUUUGUCUGACGGUCUCCCAGCCUGAUUGUUGUUGGUAGUCCUCAUCCUUUCCCCCAGUUCCUGGGAGCUACAGAUCCUCUCACUUCUGGGUCAACCACACUCACAUCGGCUCUGAGAAGAUGCCGCAGCCUCUCCCUGUGAGCCCCUGCUUGACCAACUUUGCUAUUAGCAGAUACUUUCUUACUAGGUUUCCUUUGAAGAUCUAGGCCCAUUUUUUGCUCUCUGUUCAGAAGUUAUAAUAUGCACUUCUUUGGCUCCACUACAUAAAACCGCUUUGUCCCAAGCCAGCCCACACUCUGCCAAAGAAGGAUUUCCUAAUUUAGGAAAUCAGAUCCACUCAACAAAUU